rnacentral:rRNA from 1 species
GAUGAACGCUAGCUACAGGCUUAACACAUGCAAGUCGAGGGGAAACGAUGAGAGAGCUUGCUCUCUUAGGCGUCGACCGGCGCACGGGUGAGUAACGCGUAUCCAACCUACCCAUUACAGGGGGAUAACCUUGCGAAAGUAAGACUAAUACCCCAUGGCAUUUUAUGGUGGCAUCAUUAUAGGAUUAAAGAUUUAUUGGUAAUGGAUGGGGAUGCGUCUGAUUAGCUUGUUGGCGGGGUAACGGCCCACCAAGGCAACGAUCAGUAGGGGUUCUGAGAGGAAGGUCCCCCACAUUGGAACUGAGACACGGUCCAAACUCCUACGGGAGGCAGCAGUGAGGAAUAUGGGUCAAUGGGCGAGAGCUUGAACCAGCCAAGUAGCGUGCAGGAUGACGGCCCUAUGGGUUGUAAACUGCUUUUAUAGGGGAAUAAAGUGAGCUACGUGUAGUUUAUUGCAUGUACCCUAUGAAUAAGGACCGGCUAAUUCCGUG